GACGAACGCUGGCGGCGUGGAUUAGGCAUGCAAGUCGAACGGUAGGAUACCUUCGGGUAUCUGAGAGUGGCAAACGGGUGAGUAACACGUAGGUGAUCUACCCUCAAGAUUGGGACAACCCAGGGAAACUUGGGCUAAUACCGGAUGAAAGCAGCAGUGAUGUUGUUUGAAAGGUGGCGUAAGCUGCCGUUUGGGGAUGAGCCUGCGCUCUAUUAGUUAGUUGGCGGGGUAAAGGCCCACCAAGGCGAUGAUAGAUAGGCGGCCUUAACGGGUGGUCGCCCACACUGGGAUUGAGAUACGGCCCAGACUCCUACGGGAGGCAGCAGUCGAGAAUAGUCUACAAUGGCCGAAAGGCUGAUAGUGCGACGCCGCGUGAACGAAGAAGCCCUUCGGGGUGUAAAGUUCUUUUAUAUGUGAGCAGUGCUUUCUAUGUGAACAGCAUGGGGAGAGAGAUAUUAGCAUAUGAAUAAGCAACGGCUAACUCCGUGCCAGC
rnacentral:rRNA from 1 species